UACGUAGGGUGCAAGCGUUGUCCGGAAUUAUUGGGCGUAAAGAGCUCGUAGGCGGUCUGUCGCGUCGGCUGUGAAAUCCCGAGGCUCAACCCCGGGUCUGCAGUCGAUACGGGCAAACUGGAGUACUGCAGGGGAGACUGGAAUUCCUGGUGUAGCGGUGAAAUGCGCAGAUAUCAGGAGGAACACCGGUGGCGAAGGCGGGUCUCUGGGCAGUAACUGACGCUGAGGAGCGAAAGCGUGGGGAGCGAACAGG
rnacentral:rRNA from 1 species